UACAGAGGAGCCAAGCGUUGUCCGGAUUGACUGGGCGUAAAGCGCACGCAGGCGGAUGCGCGCGUGGGGUGUGAAAUCUGGCCGCUUAACGGCCAGGCGCCAUCCCAUACGGCGCGUCUGGAGUGAUGCAGAGGUCGGUGGAAUUGCCGGUGUAGUGGUGAAAUGCAUAGAGAUCGGCAGGAACACCCAGGGGGAAACCAGCCGACUGGGCAUCUACUGACGCUGAGGUGCGAGAGCGUGGGGAGCGAACCGG
rnacentral:rRNA from 1 species